GUUUUAACUUCAUGAUUUAAUAUUAAUGACAUUAUACAUUAUUAUAAGAUGUUUUUCUUAAUGCUGCGUGCGUGCCUUUGAUGCGCGUGCGCGUGAACAUUCAAAUCACAGGAGCGCGCGAGCAGUUUGAAUUGAAACAGGAAGCGUCGUGCCGUCGUCAACUGACAAACACCAACUAGCGUCUCUCGCUGUUGUCACUGCGUUCAGAAAUGAUUUUGGGUCUUCGAAAAAGUCCGUUAGCAUCUCAAUCGUUUUCAGAAGAGGCUAGCAGCUAAGUUAGCUAAGAUCAUGUUGAUGUCCUAAGUUACUGCACCCCCUGUCCAAGACAAUCUCCACGGCUAUGAACUCGACUAGUGUGUUUUGAAAUAAGUUGUCCAAUGAGACAUCGUACUGUCCAACUCAAAGAGCCCUGCGCAGGACUAUUUUCCUCACCCUGCCGAAUCUCUGACCAUUACCACCUGCUCCCGCAACGGAUGUUACACUCCCGUGGGACCCGGCGGUACUCAAUCCCAAUGCAGCCCUCUACCAAGCACAAAGCUAACUUUUGUAAAUUGCACAAAGCACAACAGGUUGAUACAACUGAACGUUAUUACAAACUGUUAUUUCAGUGUUUUAAGUAAUUUAUAAGUGGUUGAUGAUGAACUAAUCAUAUACAAAACAUUCAUAAAUGUUUAGCAAGUGAUAUGCUAACACUUCAUGUAUGUUUUGUAAAUUAUUACAAGUCAUUUACAAUUGAAUAGUCGUGUUUUGUAAAUUAUUAAUCAUUACGUUUCAUAAAUGUCAGGUGCCCAGUGGUUAGACUCCAUGUGUUUUAGAGAAGACAGCUGUCUACAACCUCACUAGUCAGCAAUUACACUGCAGUACACACUACAGUGUUCAA